GGCUGAGUCAUCGCCGCGGUCGCUGCCCGGAGAGCUGGCGAGCAGGGCAGAUCUGUACUAAGGAAUUGAGCAGAAGUGGAGUGUACGGCAGCCUGACACUGGAGGUGAUGGUAGCCUCUCAGGAUCUUUCCCUUGGAGUUGGAAUGGAAUACAGAACUAGGGGGACACAGUUUCGAUCCCUAGUCCGGGAAGAUCGCACAUGCCGCGGAAAAAGUAAGCCCGUGAGCCACAACUACUGAGCCCACGCACCACAACUACUGAAGCCCGCGCGCCUAGAGCCUGUGCUCUGCAACAAGAGAAGCCACCGAAAUGAGAAGCCUGCGCACAGCAACGAAGAGUAGCCCCCGCUCGUCGCAACUAGAGAAAGCCCGUGCACAGCAACAAAGACCCAACGCAGCCAAAAAUAAAAUAAAAUAAAAAAUAAAAGGAAUAUAGAAAAGAAUGACCAAC